UUUCGGACGGGGGUGAGUAACGCGUGAGAAUCUACCUUCAGGUCGGGGAUAACCCCUGGAAACGGGGGCUAAUACCGGAUAGGUCGAAAGAUGAAAGGUUAACUGCCGGAAGAGGAGCUCGCGUCUGAUUAGCUAGUAGGUGUGGUAAGAGCGCACCUAGGCGACGAUCAGUAGCUGGUCUGAGAGGAUGAGCAGCCACACUGGGACUGAGACACGGCCCAGACUCCUACGGGAGGCAGCAGUGGGGAAUUUUCCGCAAUGGGCGAAAGCCUGACGGAGCAAGACCGCGUGGGGGAGGAAGGCCUUUGGGUUGUAAACCCCUUUUGUUAGGGAAGAAAAAAAUGACGGUACCUAACGAAUCAGCCUCGGCUAACUCCGUGCCAGCAGCCGCGGUAAUACGGAGGAGGCAAGCGUUAUCCGGAAUUAUUGGGCGUAAAGCGUCCGUAGGUGGCCCGGCAAGUCUGCUGUCAAAGACCACAGCUCAACUGUGGAAAGGCAGUGGAAACUGCAAGGCUAGAGUGCGGUAGGGGUAGAGGGAAUUCCCAGUGUAGCGGUGAAAUGCGUAGAGAUUGGGAAGAACACCGGUGCGAAAGCGCUCUACUGGGCCGCAACUGACA
rnacentral:rRNA from 1 species